rnacentral:lncRNA from 1 species
CGACUAUAUAUAUAUAGAGAGAGAACUAGGCUGGAAUACUAUCAAUAGCACCAAACUAUUAGUGCUAUUAAUUUUUUAGCUCUUGGAUUGAAAAAUGUGCGGUUAGAAUGAUGUGGGCCCCUUAGGGUUGAGUGAGUAGUUAGUUGAAUAGUAUAAUCUAACGGGCAAAAAUAAUCAAAGGGUUAAAUCUAACAAUAGAAAACUCGAUAGCACCAAACCCUUGGUACUAUCGAUAGUAUCCUAGCCGGACUC